rnacentral:misc_RNA from 1 species
UUCAAGGAACCUACAGAAUGUGAACCAAACAUAUCUAAUUACUGGCAGAGUUCAUUUGAUGCUCUCCCACCUGAGUGGACUGACCAGUUUGAGUCAGGGAUUCAGACUAUUGCUGUGAUUCAAGCUGGACAUGGCCUACUGCAACUGGGAUCCUGCAAGAUUAUACCGGAAGACCUCCAUUUCGUGUUAAGAAUGAGGCACACGUUCGAGUCACUAGGCUAUCAAUCUGGCUUUUAUUUGUCACAACUAUUUUCUUCAACAAGGACUAGUUCACCUUCGUCUGCAAUUCCUCUUAAGCAGCCGACCAUGCCAAUUCGCGCUCCUCCUCCACUUUUCAACUGGGGACCAAGGCCAAUGCCUUCAGCGUCUUCGCUACUAUCGUCUCCCAACUUCCAG